UACGAACCGUACAAACGUUAUUCGGAAUCACUGGGCUUAAAGGGUGCGUAGGCGGCCAUGUAAGUGAGGUGUGGAAUCCCUCGGCUCAACCGAGGAACUGCGCUUCAUACUGCAUGGCUUGAGGGAGACAGGGGUAAGCGGAACUGAUGGUGGAGCGGUGAAAUGCGUUGAUAUCAUCAGGAACACCGGUGGCGAAAGCGGCUUACUGGGUCUCUUCUGACGCUGAGGUACGAAAGCUAGGGGAGCGAACGGG
rnacentral:rRNA from 1 species